CCCAGACUCCUACGGGAGGCAGCAGUGGGGGAUAUUGCACAAUGGGGGGAACCCUGAUGCAGCGACGCCGCGUGGGUGAAGGAGCGUUUCGGCGCGUAAAGCCCUAUCGGCAGGGAAGAAGGAGGACGGUACCUGACUAAGAAGCCCCAGCUAACUACGUGCCAGCAGCCGCGGUAAUACGUAGGGGGCAAGCGUUAUCCGGAUUUACUGGGUGUAAAGGGGGCGCAGACGGCAGCGCAAGCCAGGAGUGAAAGCCCGGGGCCCAACCCCGGGACUGCUCUUGGAACUGCGCGGCUGGAGUGCAGGAGGGGCAGGCGGAAUUCCUGGUGUAGCGGUGAAAUGCGUAGAUAUCAGGAGGAACACCGGUGGCGAAGGCGGCCUGCUGGACUGCGACUGACGUUGAGGCCCGAAAGCGUGGGGAGCAAACAGGAUUAGAUACCCGUGUAU
rnacentral:rRNA from 1 species